CCUACGGGUGGCAGCAGUGAGGAAUAUUGGUCAAUGGGCGGGAGCCUGAACCAGCCAAGUCGCGUGAGGGAUGACGGCCCUAUGGGUUGUAAACCUCUUUUGCCGGGGAGCAAAGUGCCGCACGUGUGCGGUUUGGAGAGUACCCGGAGAAAAAGCAUCGGCUAACUCCGUGCCAGCAGUCGCGGUAAAACGGAGGAUGCGAGGUUUAUCCGGAUUUAUUGGGUUUAACGGGUGCGUAGGCGGACGCUUAAGUCAGCGGUACAAUUGCGGGGCUCAACCUCGUCGAGCCGUUGAAACUGGGUGCCUUGAGUGGGCGAGACGUACGCGGAAUGCGUUCUGUAGCGGUUCAAUUCAUAGAUAUCACGCAGAACUCCGAUUGCGAAGGCAGCGUACCGGCGCCCACCUGACGCUGACGCACGAAUGCGUGGGUAUCGAACAGGAUUAGAUACCCCUGUAGUC
rnacentral:rRNA from 1 species